rnacentral:rRNA from 1 species
ACUCCUACGGGAGGCAGCAGUGGGGAAUAUUGCACAAUGGGCGCAAGCCUGAUGCAGCCAUGCCGCGUGUAUGAAGAAGGCCUUCGGGUUGUAAAGUACUUUCAGCAGUGAGGAAGGUGGGUAUGUUAAUAGCAUAUUCAUUUGACGUUAGCUGCAGAAGAAGCACCGGCUAACUCCGUGCCAGCAGCCGCGGUAAUACGGAGGGGGUUAGCGUUGUUCGGAAUUACUGGGCGUAAAGCGCACGUAGGCGGACUAUUAAGUUAGAGGUGAAAUCCCAGGGCUCAACCCUGGAACUGCCUUUAAUACUGGUAGUCUUGAGUUCGAGAGAGGUGAGUGGAAUUCCGAGUGUAGAGGUGAAAUUCGUAGAUAUUCGGAGGAACACCAGUGGCGAAGGCGGCCUCACUGGCUCGAUACUGACGCUGAGGUGCGAAAGUGUGGGGAGCAAACAGGAUUAGAUACCCUGGUAGCUACG